AUGGACACUGGUCCAUGGGAACUGGAUGCUGUGAGGCAUCGACAUAAUGGCCAGACGAUAAGUGUGCUGGACAGGCGCAGCUUUGGCAUUAAAUAUGUUAGUGAGCUGUCCACCGUUCGCGAUUGUGCCACCGAGUGCGUGGAAAAAGAAAUUUGGGAGACACAAACGUACUGCUGCACCGAGGACGGCUGCAAUUCCGGCACCCAAUUGGCCUACUCCGUCAUCCUGUUGACCCUGCCACUCCUUUCGAUGGCUUGGCCCACAUUCGUUGAUUUUUGGAAUACGCGACGUUAAGUGGGAUCUGAGGAGAUGAUCCAGCCCAUCUUCGCUCGGUUCUUAGCUUGGUUUUGUAUUAUUUUGCAGCAAGUAAACAAUGUAUAAAAUUUCAAUCGUUAGCAUUUAUUUUAUUUUCAAAAAUAUAUGAAAAGCACACAAACAAAAUUCUGUGAACGGGACCUAAUCAAACUAAGAUGCGAUAACGCAAAGUUACACGAAAUUUAACCAUUUGAGCCUGUCUUUUUUUUGUAAUUUCGGAGUAUACACUUAUAUAAAUAUAUAUAUUUUUUUUGCCAACAUGUUUGCUGUUAUUACUUUGAGGCUUUGUAUUUCUGACUGUCUUCCCAAAAAAAAAAAAAAACUAAAUGAAAACGCAGGGGUGUAGAAACACCCAGAAGCUUAACUAAUUCAUAUUCACAAGAAAAACCAAUUGCAAUGCCAAAUUACUACUAAAGUCGUGUUAAAAAAUAAAAA